UACAGAGGUCUCAAGCGUUGUUCGGAUUCAUUGGGCGUAAAGGGUGCGUAGGCGGCGCGGUAAGUCGGGUGUGAAAAUUUCGAGGCUUAACUUCGAAACUGCAUUCGAUACUGCCGUGCUAGAGGACUGGAGAGGAGACUGGAAUUUACGGUGUAGCGGUGAAAUGCGUAGAUAUCGUAAGGAAGACCAGUGGCGAAGGCGGGUCUCUGGACAGUUCCUGACGCUGAGGCACGAAGGUCAGGGGAGCAAACGGG
rnacentral:rRNA from 1 species